rnacentral:rRNA from 1 species
GUCAAGUCAUCAUGGCCUUUAUGGCCAGGGCUACACACGUGCUACAAUGGUGGAUACAGAGGGAAGCCAACGCGCGAGCGGGAGCCAAUCCCAGAAAAUCCAUCGUAGUCCGGAUUGGAGUCUGCAACUCGACUCCAUGAAGUCGGAAUCGCUAGUAAUCGCAGAUCAGCAUUGCUGCGGUGAAUACGUUCCCGGGUCUU